rfam:Triticum aestivum genome assembly, contig: Triticum_aestivum_CS42_TGACv1_scaffold_404990_5BL
CUCCUACUCCCUCCGUCCGAAAAUACUUGUCAUCAAAAUGGAUAAAAAGGGAUGUAUCUAGAACUAAAAUACGUCUAGAUACAUCUUCUUUUAUUCAUUUUGAUGACAAGUAUAUCUGGACGGAGGGAGUACAAA